rnacentral:rRNA from 1 species
GAUGAACGCUGGCGGCGUGCCUAAUACAUGCAAGUCGAGCGAACGGACGAGAAGCUUGCUUCUCUGAUGUUAGCGGCGGACGGGUGAGUAACACGUGGAUAACCUACCUAUAAGACUGGGAUAACUUCGGGAAACCGGAGCUAAUACCGGAUGAUAUUUUGAACCGCAUGGUUCAAAAGUGAAAGACGGUCUUGCUGUCACUUAUAGAUGGAUCCGCGCUGCAUUAGCUAGUUGGUAAGGUAACGGCUUACCAAGGCAACGAUGCAUAGCCGACCUGAGAGGGUGAUCGGCCACACUGGAACUGAGACACGGUCCAGACUCCAACGGGAGGCAGCAGUAGGGAAUCUUCCGCAAUGGCGAAAGCCUGACGGAGCAACGCCGCGUGAGUGAUGAAGGUCUUCGGAUCGUAAAACUCUGUUAUUAGGGAAGAACAUAUGUGUAAGUAACUGUGCACAUCUUGACGGUACCUAAUCAGAAAGCCACGGCUAACUACGUG